rnacentral:other from 1 species
AUCGACCCAGGGACCGGCGAUAUAUAUUCGGACCCUACAGUCAAUAACCCAGGGAGCUGUCCCUGCCAGUGGUGUGCAUGCCUGGUUUACCAGGAAGCCUAAAGCUGGUACAUGGCGCCCACUUAAGAUUCUGGGUUCCAAUUGACUUCGCCGGCUCUGGGUCUUUU